GCGCCCGUGGCGGAAUUGGCAGACGCGCUAGGUUGAGGGCCUAGUGGCCGUUGAGGCUGUGAUGGUUCAAAUCCAUUCGGGCGCA
rnacentral:tRNA from 1 species